UAAUCAGUGCCAGUAUGGCUAACUCAGUAGUCUUAUUUUAGCCCCUUUACACAGUAGUCAUCUGAGAUGACUUUUUCCACCUUUACCUGCUCUCUCUUCUGUGUAUAAGAUACCAAUCCAAGAUGGGGCUUUGAGGUGACCCGGGAAUUUGCCAUCUUCCCAGCUCUUUGGUCUUGGUCAUAGUGGAGUUUGGAGUGUGACAGGUGUCCUUUAUACUGAUUACAAGUUCAAAGGGGUGCCAUUAAUGCAGGUAAUGAGUGGAGGACAGAGGAGCUUCUUAAAGAAUUACAGAGUAAUACAAGGCUAAGGCUUCGCAAAGGUUC